rnacentral:rRNA from 1 species
GAUCUCAAAUCGGGUAGGAACACCCGCUGAACUUAAGCAUAUCAUUAAGCGGAGGAAAAGAAACUAACUAGGAUUCCCGUAGUAGCGGCGAGCGAAAAGGGAGAAGCUCAAGAUAAAAUCUGAAAGCGUCGUUUUCAGAUAUUUAAUCUAUAAAGGUGCGAUUGAAUUUUUCUUAAAUCAAAGUCUCCUGGAAGGGAGCACCAGAGAGGGUGAUAGUCCCGUUAAUGAUUUUUUGAAAUUAUUCAGAGACGCACGCCUGAAGAGUCGAGUUGCUUGGGAGUGCAGCUCAAAUUGGGUGGUAUACUUCAUCCAAAGCUAAAUACGGGCGAGAGACCGAUAGCGAACAAGCACUGUGAAGGAAAGAUGGAAAGAA